rnacentral:tRNA from 1 species
AUUUAAAUAGUUUAAUAAAAAUAUUAAUUUGUGGAAUUAAUGUUAUACUUUUUAGUAUUUUAAAUA